UACGGAAGGCAGCAGUGGGGAAUAUUGCACAAUGGGCGAAAGCCUGAUGCAGCUAUGCCGCGUGUAUGAAGAAGGCCUUAGGGUUGUAAAGUACUUUCAUCGGGGAGGAAAAAACAAAACUAAUAAUUUUAUUUCUUGACGUUACCCGAAAAAGAAGCACCGGCUAACUCCGUGCCAGCAGCCGCGGUAAUACGGAGGGUGCUAGCGUUAAUCAGAAUUACUGGGCGUAAAGAGCACGUAGGUGGUUUUUUUAAGUCAGAUGUGAAAUCCCUGGGCUUAACCUGGAACUGCAUUUUGAAACUGAAAUACUAGAGUAUCGUAGAGGGAGGUAGAAUUCUAGGUGUAGCGGUGAAAUGCGUAGAUAUCUGGAGGAAUACCUGUGGUGAAAGCGGCCUCCUAAACGAAUACUGACACUGAGGGUGCGAAAGCGUGGGGAGCAAACAGGGAUUAGAUACC
rnacentral:rRNA from 1 species